AUGUUAUUUAUGAUUUAUUCCAGAUAUUAUCCUGUAUUUUGAUCUGAUAUGCUCUGACCCCACUCUGGGGUAUUUUGUUGCUUACUGGGCUAGUGUAGCUCAUUAUUCUGUUUUCUUCAUUUUUCAGAUCCAGAGGCUUGAUCGCACGGGAUUGGGAAGUGCGUUAGAUUUUCCGACGAUUCCUUCAGUUAUUAGUCCUUUAGUUAGAUUGAUUAAAGUAUUUGACUUACGCAAGCAUUUGUUAUUUGAAAUUUUGUAAAACUGCUUUUUUUAAAUUUAAAUAACUAUGUCAGUUUUGAAUAUUUGUAUCUGCUUUGAUAUGAUCCGAUGCCUUGCACGCCUGUGCGGCCCGCCGUGCGGGCGUGCGGCGUCUGCCGCGCCUCGGGCUCGGGGCGUGACAGAUUUGGUGGUAUCAGAGCCAGGUUUCAGAUUCCUACGAAUUGUGUUUGAAAUAGUUGGAUGGAGCUUAAGUUUUAGGAUCUUUAGGAUUCGUCGGAAAGUUUGAGAGAUGGGUGGACAUUAGGCUAUUAGACGAAGAUAUUUAUUUGCUUUUGCUAUUGAUAAAUUUAUAUUAUUUUAUCAGAAUUUUGAAAUUAGAAUGCAACCUAAUUAUGGCUGUAACCAAAGUGUGAAUAAGUUAUUCUGAUAGUUUUCUUGGUAGAGCAAUUUGUAUUUCAAGUUAUGAUUAAUUAGAUUUUGACUAAAUUAAGUGAAGGAAUAUUAAUCAUGAGAUAUUAUCGUGCAAUGUAAUUAUUUUGGAAGUUUAACUUGAUAUCAGGCACUGUGGAUAUUGUUUCUAGUUGAAGUUAAUUAUUUUGGUGGCAAAUUAAGAUUCAUCUAUAAAAAAUGUUUAAAGCUUGGACUAGAAAAUAUUUAUUGAAAUCUGUAUGUGGAUCAUGCAUGGAACUCGUAUAUAGAAGGAAAAUAUACUUGGGGAUGAGACUUAAGAAUUUU
rnacentral:lncRNA from 1 species